rnacentral:rRNA from 1 species
UACAGAGGGUGCGAGCGUUGUUCGGAAUUAUUGGGCGUAAAGGGCGCGUAGGCGGUGCGGUAAGUCACCUGUGAAAUCUCCUGGCUCAACUGGGAGCUUGCAGGCGAAACUGCCGUGCUGGAGUGUGGGAGAGGUGCGUGGAAUUCCUGGUGUAGCGGUGAAAUGCGUAGAUAUCUGGAGGAACACCGGUGGCGAAGGCGGCGAUCUGGCCCAACACUGACACUGAGACCCAAAAGCGUGGGGAUCAAACAGG